AUCACCUGGACAGCUUGUUAAAAUGCAGAUUCCACUUCAGUGGGCCUAAGAGUCUGCAUUUCUAACAGGUUGCCAUAUGCUGCUAA
rfam:Myotis lucifugus cont2.9328, whole genome shotgun sequence.